GUGGGGAAUUUUGGACAAUGGGCGAAAGCCUGAUCCAGCCAUGCCGCGUGCAGGAUGAAGGCCUUCGGGUUGUAAACUGCUUUUGUACGGAACGAAAAGACUCCUUCUAAUAAAGGGGGUCCAUGACGGUACCGUAAGAAUAAGCACCGGCUAACUACGUGCCAGCAGCCGCGGUAAUACGUAGGGUGCAAGCGUUAAUCGGAAUUACUGGGCGUAAAGCGUGCGCAGGCGGUUUUGUAAGACAGGCGUGAAAUCCCCGGGCUCAACCUGGGAAUUGCGCUUGUGACUGCAAGGCUGGAGUGCGGCAGAGGGGGAUGGAAUUCCGCGUGUAGCAGUGAAAUGCGUAGAUAUGCGGAGGAACACCGAUGGCGAAGGCAAUCCCCUGGGCCUGCACUGACGCUCAUGCACGAAAGCGUGGGGAGCAAACAGGAUUAGAAACCCUUGUAGUCC
rnacentral:rRNA from 1 species